rnacentral:rRNA from 1 species
GAUGAACGCUGGCGGCGUGCCUAAUACAUGCAAGUCGAGCGAACAGACGAGGAGCUUGCUCCUCUGACGUUAGCGGCGGACGGGUGAGUAACACGUGGAUAACCUACCUAUAAGACUGGGAUAACUUCGGGAAACCGGAGCUAAUACCGGAUAAUAUAUUGAACCGCAUGGUUCAAUAGUGAAAGACGGUUUUGCUGUCACUUAUAGAUGGAUCCGCGCCGCAUUAGCUAGUUGGUAGGGUAACGGCUUACCAAGGCAACGAUGCGUAGCCGACCUGAGAGGGUGAUCGGCCACACUGGAACUGAGACACGGUCCUGACUCCUACGGGAGGCAGCAGUAGGGAAUCUUCCGCAAUGGGCGAAAGCCUGACGGAGCAACGCCGCGUGAGUGAUGAAGGUCUUCGGAUCGUAAAACUCUGUUAUUAGGGAAGAACAAAUGUGUAAGUAACUAUGCACGUCUUGACGGUACCUAAUCAGAAAGCCACGGCUAACUACGUG